rnacentral:rRNA from 1 species
AGCUAUGUUCGGAAAAGAUAACCGCUGAAAGCAUCUAAGCGGGAAACUUGCCUCAAGAUGAGAUCUCACUGGGAACUUGAUUCCCCUGAAGGGCCGUCGAAGACUACGACGUUGAUAGGCUGGGUGUGUAAGCGUUGUGAGGCGUUGAGCUAACCAGUACUAAUUGCCCGUGAGGCUUGACCAU